AUUCUGUGAAUUUUAGAUUAUCGGUUUAUUCCUGAUGUUAUACAUACUAUAUUAGAUAGAUUUAUAUGUAUGAUUCAAAAUGAUGAAUGGGAUUUAGAUAAAUGCUCUGUAGAGUAUUUUAACCUCAUGAAAAUAUCAGAUAUAUUCAAAACCGAAAAGUUAAAAAAAUUAAAAGCAGUUAUUAAAAAAUGUCUUGGUGAACUUUACUGUGAUCUACGUCCUUCUGAGUUUCAGGAUGUUCAGUCGACGAAUUGUUGCACAAAAUGUUGCUAAAUUUUAUAAAAAUUCAAAUAAAUCACAUUUUUAAUUUGAAAAUAUAUUAAUAAUGUUAUUAAAAAGCAUAUAGUUUGUUAUUACACAAAUACUGUUAAAAUAAAAAUUUCUAUAUGAGCGAAAUGUUUUCAUAAUAAAAAUAAAUAUUAAAAUUA